UACGUAGGCAGCAAGCGUUGUUCGGAAUUACUGGGCGUAAAGCGUGUGUAGGCGGUUGGGUAAGUCUGGUGUGAAAAUCUCCUGGCUCAACUGGGAGGGUGCGCCGGAAACUGCCUGGCUAGAGUGCGGAAGAGGAGAGUGGAAUUCCCGGUGUAGCGGUGAAAAUGCGUAGAUAUCGGGAGGAACACCUGUGGCGAAAGCGGCUCUCUGGACCGUAACUGACGCUGAGCACGAAGGCCAGGGGAGCAAACGGGAGUAGUAACUGAUCCCGAAGUAGUCCCGAGAAGCCAAGUCACCAUGCCUUGCCCUGAUCGAAUUA
rnacentral:rRNA from 1 species